GGCAGAGCCAAAGCAUCAUAGCAGGGGCACCCAUUCCCCAUACAGCAGAGUGAGAAAACAGAAUAAAGUAACCCAGAAUAACAAUAAAUCAAUGAGCAGUAUACAGAAUCUGUCAGAUAAAUGGCCUAAAUACAGCAACAGAUGUUAACAAGUGAUACAGCAGCUACAUAGCAUGAAGUGGUAUAGGAAAUAACACAGAAUAGACUGCCUAGCUAAACCCAGCAAUAGACUGCCUAGCUAAACACAGCAAUAGACUGCCUAGCUAAACCCAGCAAUAGACUGCCUAGAUAAACACAGCAAUAGACUGCCUAGCUAAACACAGCAAUAGACUGCCUAGCUAAACCCAGCAAUAGACUGCCUAGCUAAACACAGCAAUAGACUGCCUAGCUAAACACAGCAAUAGACUGCCUAGCUAAACACAGCAAUAGACUGCCUAGAUAAACACAGCAAUAGACUGCCUAGAUAAACCCAGCAAUAGACUGCCUAGCUAAACACAGCAAUAGACUGCCUAAAUAAAACCAGCAAUUAAGCUGCCUGAACAAACCUAACACAUAGACUGAUUAAAUAGCCUGUUUAAAUAAACAAGCAGCAUGUAGAAUAAAACAACAACCAAGAGCAGAGACAACUCUGAGUUGGUGAGUGCUCACCUGGAGGCAGCAGCAAAG